rnacentral:rRNA from 1 species
UACGUAGUGGGCAAGCGUUGUCCGGAUUCAUUGGGCGUAAAGAGCGUGUAGGCGGCCAGGUAGGUCGGUUGUGAAAACUGGAGGCUCAACCUUCAGAGGUCGACCGAAACCAUCUGGCUAGAGUCCGGGAGAGGAGAGUGGAAUUCCUGGUGUAGCGGUGAAAUGCGCAGAUAUCAGGAAGAACACCCGUGGCGAAAGCGGCUCUCUGGAACGGUACUGACGCUGAGACGCGAAAGCGUGGGGAGCGAACAGG